rnacentral:misc_RNA from 1 species
GAACCAACAUCACCUCUGUUAUCUUUAGAGUAAUCAUCCAAAGCUUUAAAUAAAGUCUGCAUAACCUCAUUCUUUAUAAAAACAUACAGAGAUAUGCAUUCUUCGGCAGAUAAUAGAUGAGAAUGAUCUUGUGUAUUGGUUAAAAUUUCACAUACAGAUACAAGUCCUUUGACAGCAUUUACCCGUGAUUCAACAUCUCUUUCUUCAGGGUUAUCCUCAAUUUCACAAGCAGCACAAAGCUUACGAAGUAUAUCCUUCCAUCCUACACAGAGAAACUUAAAUGGCAAAAUACCAAGCGCAAGUGAAGAUCCUCGUCUAGCUGCCACAUUAGGAUCACUCAAUUGC